rnacentral:snoRNA from 1 species
ACCCAAACACCACAAUGAUGAGAAACAAUGUUUCAAGAACCGGUAUUAUUAGGAAGAGCCGGAAGAGGUAUGGCGGGCUAUCCCCCAAAUACGGGAGCCUUGUCGUCGGUGCUUAUAAUGGUUCUGCUGAAAUGGUGUUUUGG